rnacentral:rRNA from 1 species
GUGAGGAAUAUUGCGCAAUGGAGGCAACUCUGACGCAGCCAUGCCGCGUGCAGGAAGAAGGCGCUACGCGUUGUAAACUGCUUUUAACCGGGAAGAAACCCCAGGACGUGUCCUGGGUUGACGGUACCGGAGGAAUAAGCACCGGCUAACUUCGUGCCAGCAGCCGCGGUAAUACGAAGGGUGCAAGCGUUAUCCGGAUUCAUUGGGUUUAAAGGGUGCGUAGGCGGAGCGUUAAGUCAGUGGUGAAAUCCUGCAGCUUAACUGUAGACUUGCCAUUGAUACUGGCGCUCUUGAGUGCGCUUGAAGUGGGCGGAAUGUGCCGUGUAGCGGUGAAAUGCUUAGAUAUGGCACAGAACACCAAUUGCGAAGGCAGCUCACUAAGGCGAUACUGACGCCGAGGCACGAAAGCGUGGGGAUCGAACAGGAUUAGAUACCCCUGUAGUCC